rnacentral:rRNA from 1 species
GACGAACGCUGGCGGCGUGCCUAAUACAUGCAAGUCGAACGGUCUUUUCUAUGGAAGCUUGCUUCCACUGAGAAGAUAGUGGCGGACGGGUGAGUAACACGUGGGUAACCUGCCCAUAAGAGGGGGAUAACAUCCGGAAACGGGUGCUAAUACCGCAUAGUUUUUCUGAUCGCAUGAUCGGGAAAGGAAAGACGGCCUUUGUGCUGUCGCUUAUGGAUGGACCCGCGGCGUAUUAGUUAGUUGGUGAGGUAAUGGCUCACCAAGACGAUGAUACGUAGCCGACCUGAGAGGGUGAUCGGCCACAUUGGGACUGAGACACGGCCCAAACUCCUACGGGAGGCAGCAGUAGGGAAUCUUCCGCAAUGGACGAAAGUCUGACGGAGCAACGCCGCGUGAGUGAAGAAGGUUUUCGGAUCGUAAAACUCUGUUGUCAGAGAAGAAUAAGUCGGAGAGUAACUGCUC